AGUGAACGCUGGCGGUAGGCCUAACACAUGCAAGUCGAACGGCAGCACAGUAAGAUCGUGCUCUUACGUGUGGCGAGUGUCAGACGGGUGAGGGAUACAUCGGAAUCUACUUGUUCUUGGGGGAGGACGUAGGGAAACUUACGCUAAUACCGCAUACGACCUACGGGGGAAAGCAGGGGAUCUUCGGAGCUUGCGCGGUUGAAUGAGCCGAUGUGGGAGUAGGUAGUGGGCGGGGUAAAGGCCCACUAAGGCGACGAUCCGUAGCUGGUCUGAGAGGAUGAUCAGCCACACUGGAACUGAGACACGGUCCAGACUACUACGGGAGGGCGCAGUGGGGAACAUUGGACAAUGGGCGCAAGCAUGAUACAGUCAUCCCGAGUGGGUGACGAAGGCCUUCCGGUUGUAAAGACCUUCUGUUGGGAAAGAACAGCAGCCGGUUAAUACCAAGCUGUUCUGACGGUAACCAAAGAAUAAGCACCGGCUAACUUCGUG
rnacentral:rRNA from 1 species